rnacentral:snRNA from 1 species
GUGCUCACUUGGGAAGCACAUAUAUGAAAUUGGAAUGAUAAAGAGAAGAUUAGCAUGACCUCUGUGUGAGGAUGACAUGCAAAUUCGUGAAAUGUUCCAUACUCUU